rnacentral:rRNA from 1 species
UAGCAUAGUAAUUAGUCUUUUAAUUGUAGGCUGGAAUGAAUGGUUGGACAAGAAGUAGACUGUCUUUUUUAUAAGUUUUGAAUUUUACUUUUAAGUGAAAAGGCUUAAAUGUGUUUAAGGGACGAUAAGACCCUAUGAAACUUUACAGUUAAGGAGUGUUCAAUAAUUGAUUUGAAGCUUGUUUAUUUUGUAGCUGUUUUGUUGGGGAGACAAUAACAAAAGACAUAAAUAUCUGUUUGGUAAAUGAAAAUAAAAUUAUUUAGUUAAGUUGAUCCCUUAUUAAGGAUUAAAAGAGUAAGUUACUUUAGGGAUAACAGCGUGAUUUUUUCUGAGAGUCCUUAUCGAUGAAAGUAGUU